GCCUGGGUGGCUCAGUCAGUUGAGCGUCUGACUUUGGCUUAGGUCAUGAUCUCACGGUUCGUGGGUUUGAGCCCCACACUGGGCU
rnacentral:tRNA from 1 species